GACACAAGAAUUCAGUUCUCCAGUGAGUCUAAAGGACAGAAGGAAUGGACAGAUUCCUGAGCCUGCUCAUCCUUUGGGUACAACUAAACUGGGUGAGCAGUAAGCAGGACGUGAGUCAGAGUCCUGAAGCUCUGAGCGUGAGAGAGGGAGACAGCGUGGAUCUCAACUGCAGUUACACCGACAGCGCUCUGUACUUCCUGCAGUGGUUUAGGCAGGAUCCCAGGAAAGGGCUCACAUCCCUACCGUCAAUUCAGGCGAAUCAGAAAGAGCAAACAAGUGGAAGAAUUACAGUCUCGUUGGAUAAAUCACCAAGACACAGUGCUUUACACACUGCGACUUCUCAGCACAGUGACUGGACCACUUACCUCUGUGCUGUGAGCCACAGCGCAGAGGGAACCUGUCCCAGGACUCAAACUGCAGGUGGGGNCUACUGUCAAUUCAGGCGAAUCAGAAAGAGCAAACAAGUGGAAGAAUUACAGUCUCGUUGGAUAAACCAUCAAGACACAAUGCUUUACACACUGCGACUUCUCAGCACAGUGACUCGACCACCUACCUCUGUGCUGUGA